rnacentral:rRNA from 1 species
UACGGGGGGGGCAAGCGUUGUUCGGAAUUACUGGGCGUAAAGGGCGCGUAGGCGGUUGGAUAAGUCAGCUGUGAAAACCACGGGCUUAACUCGUGGCCUGCAGUUGAGACUGUCUGGCUUGAGUGUGGGAGAGGAGAGUGGAAUUCCUGGUGUAGCGGUGAAAUGCGUAGAUAUCAGGAGGAACACCGGUGGCGAAUGCGGCUCUCUGGACCACAACUGACGCUGAGGUGCGAAAGCGUGGGGAGCAAACAGG